CCCCUCGCUAAAAAUUUGCCAGUGUGACGUCUUAUCAGUGUGAUAUCACUGAUCUAAGCCCAUUGGCUCGUUGUGGCUAGCCCGGCAGCUCAUGUUGCACGCCCAUUAAACUUCUGUGGCACGCCCACGAUAUGCCGCAGCCUGCGGUAGCACAGUAGUGCUAAAGUGCUAAUCCACAUUAGCUUGAGCAAAAAACGGACUUGGAAAGAAGUUUCAGCUCCUACUCUCUGACAGCUGUGGAGAUUCUAAUGCUUCUGGAAGUUCACAACCACAACAUGUAACAGAUUACACAGACCACAAGCUCCAGAAUCCCAACUAGUGUACCAAGGUUCCAUGAUGAGGUUGAGUGGCAGACAGACUCCCCACAAGUCUCAGAGGCCACACAGACAUACCUACCUCCAAAGGGGUCAUCAGUCCACACACAGUACACUAAGGGACAAGCAAAGCUUGUUGCUGUCUGUGAUGCAUAACAACGAACAUGCUGAACGUAAUAAAGCAACAACCUCUACAGGACAGCUGGUCUAUAAGGUGGCAUUCCUCAAAUCCAAAAAAAACCAGACACAACAUACAGAUAUGUCGGGGACUUGAUGGCACUGGUGUUGGGAGGUGAUGUUUCGGGAACUAGAACCAUUCAUGGAGGAGCUGCAGAAAAUACCUGGCUCUCAAAAGAAGGAGGGGUGGC